ensembl:lncRNA
UGAAAAUCACGUGGUUGAUUAAGCUCCCCAAACCUAUUUGGGAGGAAGCUGGCUCCUAUGGACUCCAUUGGCAGUUCUCUAAUGUCCGGUAACCGAAACCGGAAGGAAGCGUCAAGUAACCAUUGGGAAGAAUACAGUUAAUAAGGAUGUCAACCAUUGCCUUCUUUGCUGCUGGCUUCAACAAACAUCUACACCAAUCUGAAUCCUGCAUAAUGGACUUUUUUUCAAUCACUUAUCCUUCCUGAUAUUGCAGAUUAUCAAUAUUGAUUUAACCGACGUCAACAAUAUACGUAGAAUGUCACCCUCUAGUGGCAAGACCAAAAUAUGACAAGCACUUCACUGUGUGCAUGAUGGAAAUU